GUCCAAGCCACGAGAUCAAAAAGCCUGUAUCUUGAUUCUGUAUAUCAAGAGGAUAUGCACGGUAAAAUUCAUAAAAUCAGUAAUGAAAUUGAUGGAAUUUUUCUGUGCUUUUACUGUGAUUCAUAAGAUGAAGAAGUCCUAAAAACCUAAACUCCUGCCAUUGUUUGCCUGGGGUAGGCAUAGAACACAGUACUAGAACAGAGUAAGGAUUUGUAAAAAUAGAGCAGAGAAUGGGAAAGACAGACAGAGGAUCUCAUCACACAGUUAUGAUUUUUGUUUUUUCAAAGAAUCUCUGCACACUUUCUGGUUUAUUUUGAGGGCCCUUCAGCUCCCAGACUUGGGACUUAAUGUUGACUUAACAUUGUCUUUCUUCCACAGCUGCAAAUCUCAUUCUAAGCACAUAUUCUUCUGGCCUAGGAUGCAAAGCUAAGGAAGAUUUUUUUCAAAAACUGAAUAAAAAGGUAAUGAAAUGAAACUUGCUAUGAGACUCACUGUGGUAGAAAUAAGCAAAUCUUAAUGGAUUUUCUUAUAUGUUCUCUGGGGAAUUGUUAGAUAACCCCACAUACACAUUUUUUAUGUUUCUGUUUGCACUCUACUCCACUAAUUUCACUCUGGUCUAUGCAAAUAACUUCUAGCUAACAUAGUCCAUUGUUACCAAAUAAAGAUUUUAUUGAGUUCUCUUAACUAGAUUUGGACUUUAUUAUCUGUUUGCCAAACGACGGGCAAUAUUAAUGCUACUGUUUUCUGCCAACAUGCAAAUUAUACAAAUAUAUUUAAUUUCAUUACAGCAGUUGAAUUAAUUGUGUUAUAAUAUGAUGCUGAAGACUGUGCUACACAGGAGGAAAAGCAAAUUAAGGAACAGAAGUGACUUUCUCAUCCUGCUGUUAGUCUCACACUCUUCAAAGGCAUUUGAAUUUCUGAGGAGGGAAAUCUUGAGGGAAGAAAACUGUUUUCAAAUUUUCAAUUUAUCUGUAGCCUACAAGGAAAAUGACUGUAAAUUCUGGAGCUUCUGCAACUAUCUCUAGAGGGAACAGUUUGCCAGCAUUUGAAUCACUAGGAACCAGCUUGUUGGGACUCUAGACAUCAUUUAACCUAACUGUGCAGAACUCUCAAAACUCUCAAGAGCACCCUCAUAUAUUUUCAAUAUGCUAGUCAAGGCUCAAUGGCAGUUAUCUGUUCCAAAUGUGUUUCUACCUAAAAAUGCGUCCAUUUACCAGAGUAAUAGUAUGUAACUUCUGGAAUGCUAGUUUACAGUCUCUCCAUUACUUUACUACUGGAGCUAGAUAACCGUAUCUUAUAGAAGUGAUUAGUAACUUACAUUAUGUAGCUACAGUUGUGCAUAUGACACAUCUGCUCACUUGCUGAUCUCAUUGUGCCCUUUCCUCUCAUUCUUUGUUAACUUUCUAGUUACUCAGCUCAGGGAAAGAGAAGCAGGCCUCAACUUUGAAAGGUCAGUUCAUUUCUUGGAUCUUUUGCUAAAUCUACUAAUUUUCUGGUUAUAAACAAGAUUAAAUAAUGGUUGAGCAUACGUUUUUUCUGAUUAGCUUUGGCAAGAAGAGAUGCUGAGAUAAUCAUGGCCUCUCCAUUCCAAUGGUAGGGAGGUUCCCUGGCUUAUUUAUUGUUUUAAAGCAAAAUAUCAUGUUCUAUAGCAUCAUCUGUAAGUUCAUUGAAUGGGGGACAUGAGCAGCAUAUAAACUGCUCAUAGGCAGCUAACCUGUAGACAUUGUUAUAUGUUAUCCUGUGGCCAUGAAUAAGAUGGAUGGAAUUAAAAAGAAAGCUUCUGCAUUAGAAUCAGGGUCAUCGGUAGCCUUAGGAACGGAGGUCUUCAAACUAAUUGAAGAUAGACCUUGAUGUGUCUGUGAGAGCAACAGGCUGAAAGGUGGGUGCAUUAGGAAGUUCUUUGUAUGUCUAAUCUCCAAACAGUAUCUACAUGCUGAUUAUCUAUAUGCAGGGACAGUGAGAUUAUAUACAGGAGAACAUUGGGACCUCUUCUGACAGUACAAACUAUGUCCUUGACUGGGCAGC
rnacentral:lncRNA from 1 species